rnacentral:sRNA from 1 species
GUUGAAGAAAGUGAAUGAUGGAGAAUGGUAUCAUGUGGACUUCCAGAGAGACGGACGGUCAGACAUUUAGGUAGCAGGAAAAUCCAUCAAGAAGGAAGGU